GUAACGCUCCUAAGGCUGGGGGAGUAACAAGCAAAAUUAAACUCUUGGGACUAUCUCAAAAUAAAGUUUCUGUACAGUAAAAUAAAUUACCAACAAAACUAAGAGACAACCUACUGAAUGGGAGAAG